AUAAAUAUUGAAUUGAGGGUAAAA
rnacentral:snRNA from 1 species